AAGGUUAGCGGUAGGAGAGCCUGCUCAUCCAUCUUCCAGGUCCUCGUUCAGCCAUAGAACUUGUAUGAUGCCCACAGAGAGAGUGUCUUCUACGUGUCCACCCUGGCUCUUAAACUUCUUAUGACAUUCAGUUCAUCACCAUCAUCUCCUAUCUAAAGACUCCCCUGAUCCUCCAGUCCCAGCUGGUCCUGCCCCUCCUCUGGUCUCCAUCGCUCUUGUCACAAGGUGUUAUGGUCAGCCGCAUGUGCCUCUGUCUGCUACUACAUGCAAGUCCCACUGGGGCUGCCUGAUCCAUCAUCUUUGUAGCACCCUAGAUGUGAUCCUGGGCUUCCAUUAAUAUAUAUUCCACGGACCACAAUCAAGCAGUGGCUGAGUGGGGCAUGUGAUAAAGACCAAUCUUCGGGUGCAUUUCUAUGUCACUUCUUGCUACAGAGCUCAAAAUCCAGCCUCAAGAUACUUCAUGGACAAGUGAGACGGAUAUAAAAAGACACACUAAAUUCGUUCUGUUUUUUGACAUGCUCCACUCCGUUGGCGUUCAGUGAGCUAUCCAAUGAACUCUGGCACCGGAAGAAAGCUCUCUUGACCAAAGUAAAGAACCCCAGAGAGACCUUUAUUGGAGAAAUUUACAGAAAAAUAAUCCCAAAAUAGAUUUCAGAUGGAAAAGCGGCUUACAAAAAAAUUUCCAGGAAAGCUAAAAGUGAAAUAAAGAAGAGCUUCAAAGUG
rnacentral:lncRNA from 1 species